AAUGCAGCAGAAGGAACGGAGGCACCGUUCUCAACCUCCUCUCUUUCUCCCUCCUGCGGUGGCUGCGAGUACGAGGCACCGUCGAAUGUCUGACGAAUCAACGCCGACCGCCUCCGCAAAGCAUUCUUUGUCGUGGCGGCGCAGUCUCACCAGGGUAACAAGCCUCUCCAGUUGUUCGUCAAGGAAAAUGCCUAAAUUCCUCGGUAUCUUGAACAGUUUCGAUCUGUCGAUUUUGGCUAUUUGAGCCUUGUUGAUUCUUCCGUGACAAAGAGGGUUGGUAUGCUGAAACAUAUGGCAAAGAUAAGAAUGGUCAUACAAUGCUCUCCCAAAGGUUCUUGGAUGGCUUGCCCUACAGUGAGUGAGUUGACAGAAAUUAUUUAAGUCUGUUUGUCAUGCAUUUUGGCUUGGUAAACUGCUCACAGGAAUAAAUGUGAUGGAAGAAGUAUAUGUCCCUGCCUCCCUGGUCAUGCAGCAUCAUGUUGAAGUUUGUGUCAUGGUCAUAUUCUUAUUAUAAGUUGUUAAUCUGGUAGCAUUAUAAAUAUAUAAUAAUAUAUUGCAAAGGGUGCUACAAGAAAACCCUUAAUUUUUCUUUUACUUUUACAAUUUGUUAUAGAUGUUUUUUUCAAGACAUGCUAAUUAUAGAUGUAAUGGAUUUCUUGCCGGACCAAUUUGACAUGAUAGAUUUAUCUGCCAAUGAGAUUGCCAAACUUGAAAAUGUUCCAUAUCUUAACCGGUUGGGUCUAGAAUUAAUCCCAACAUUGGAGGUAUGGUUUGAUGUGGUUUUCUGGAUUACAGUGCCAUUUGUAUUGUAGAAUUUUUGGAAAAUUACACUGACUAGUUCUCACAAACAACAGAAUUGUAAAGUUGGUAGAAAUUGAUCCUUUAGCAGCAUCCAUUCCAAAGUUGCAGUUCCUUAGUCUGGUAGACAACAAUAUUAUGAAGUAAGAAAAUUAAAGGCUUUUAUGUUGUUGACAAGAUGAAAUCCCUCCGAGUUUUGGAUUUCAAGAAAGUGAAAAAUAUGGUAAUAUUUUCCCUUG